AACGAACGCUGGCGGCAUGCCUAACACAUGCAAGUCGAACGAUACCUUCGGGUCUAGUUGCGCACGGGUUCGUAACGCGUGGGAACCUUCCCUUAGGUUCGGAAUAACUCCCCGAAAGGGGUGCUAAUACCGGAUAAUGUCUUCGGACCAAAGAUUUAUCGCCUUUGGAUGGGCCCGCGUUGGAUUAGAUAGUUGGUAGGGUAAAAGCCUACCAAGGCGACGAUCCAUAGCUGGUCUGAGAGGAUGAUCAGCCACACUGGGAAUGAGACACGGCCCAGACUAGUACGGGAGGGAGGAGAGGGGAAUAGAGGAAAAUGGGGGAAAGAAUGAAAAAGCAAUGACGGGUGAGUGAUGAAGGGAGUAGGGUAGAAAAGCAAUUUUAAACGGGAUGAUAAUGACAGUAACGGGAGAAUAAGCACCGGCUAACUCCGUG
rnacentral:rRNA from 1 species